CGGCUGUCUCCGCCCCUUCGGAUUCACUGGCCAUGACAGCUGCUGCGCUGGAACAGCCUCUGCCGGCGCAACCGGCUG
rnacentral:ribozyme from 1 species